GAUGAACGCUAGCUACAGGCUUAACACAUGCAAGUCGAGGGGAAACGGGAGAAUAGCUUGCUAUUCUUUGUCGUCGACCGGCGCACGGGUGAGUAACGCGUAUCCAACCUUCCCAUAACUAAGGAAUACCCCGUAGAAAUGCGGCCUAAUCCCUUAUGGUCUCUUAUACCUGACAUCGGAAUAAGAGUAAAGAUUUAUCGGUUAUGGAUGGGGAUGCGUCUGAUUAGCUUGCUGGCGGGGUAACGGCCCACCAGGGCAUCGAUCAGUAGGGGUUCUGAGAGGAAGGUCCCCCACAUUGGAACUGAGACACGGUCCAAACUCCUACGGGAGGCAGCAGUGAGGAAUAUUGGUCAAUGGGCGCAAGCCUGAACCAGCCAAGUAGCGUGCAGGAUGACGGCCCUAUGGGUUGUAAACUGCUUUUUAAGGGGAAUAAAGAGGGGCACGCGUGCCCUGUUGCAUGU
rnacentral:rRNA from 1 species